rnacentral:misc_RNA from 1 species
GAUGAAGAACGCAGCAAAAUGCGAUACUUGGUGUGAAUUGCAGAAUCCCGUGAACCAUCGAGUUUUUGAACGCAAGUUGCGCCCGAAGCCUUUUGGCCGAGGGCACGUCUGCCUGGGCGUCACGCAUCGCGUCGCCCCCCACAAUUCUCCGUAAAGGGAACGUGUGUUUUGGGGGCGGAUAUUGGUCUCCCGUGCUCAUGGCGUGGUUGGCCGAAAUAGGAGUCCUUUCGAUGGACGCACGAACUAGUGGUGGUCGUAAAAACCCUAGUCUUUUGUUUCGUGCUGUUGCUCGCAAGGUAAACUCUUUAAAAACCCCAAUGUGUCGUCUCUUGACGACGCUUCGACCGCGACCCCAGGUCAGGCGGGACUACCCGCUGAGUUUAAGCAUAUCAAUAAGCGGAGGA